AGUGAACGCUGGCGGCGUGCCUAACACAUGCAAGUCGAACGCGAAAGUCCCGCAAGGGAUGAGUAGAGUGGCAGACGGGUGAGUAAUGCAUAGGUAAUCUACCCUUGAGUGGGGGAUAACUCCGGGAAACCGGUGCUAAUCCCGCAUAAUUUCCGGAUGCACAAGCAUUCGGAUCAAAGGGGGG
rnacentral:rRNA from 1 species